rnacentral:rRNA from 1 species
UACGUAGGGUGCGAGCGUUGUCCGGAAUUAUUGGGCGUAAAGAUCUUGUAGGCGGUUUGUCGCGUCUGCUGUGAAAAUCCGGGGCUCAACCCCGGACUUGCAGUGGGUACGGGCAGACUAGAGUGUGGUAGGGGAGACUGGAAUUCCUGGUGUAGCGGUGAAAUGCGCAGAUAUCAGGAGGAACACCGAUGGCGAAGGCAGGUCUCUGGGCCACUACUGACGCUGAGAAGCGAAAGCAUGGGGAGCGAACAGGAUUAGAUA